rnacentral:ncRNA from 1 species
GAAAGCCGUGUGAGGGAAAACCUCACGCACGGUUUGAUGAGGGGACGCUGAAAACCCUGUGAGGGCGUCAGUGUUCUACUCUAC